rnacentral:rRNA from 1 species
GGGUUGUGAGGUUAAGCGACUAAGCGUACACGGUGGAUGCCCUGGCAGUCAGAGGCGAUGAAGGACGUGCUAAUCUGCGAUAAGCGUCGGUAAGGUGAUAUGAACCGUUAUAACCGGCGAUUUCCGAAUGGGGAAACCCAGUGUGUUUCGACACACUAUCAUUAACUGAAUCCAUAGGUUAAUGAGGCGAACCGGGGGAACUGAAACAUCUAAGUACCCCGAGGAAAAGAAAUCAACCGAGAUUCCCCCAGUAGCGGCGAGCGAACGGGGAGGAGCCCAGAGUCUGAAUCAGUGUGUGUGUUAGUGGAAGCGUCUGGAAAGGCGUGCGAUACAGGGUGACAGCCCCGUACACAAAAAUGCACAUAUUGUGAGCUCGAUGAGUAGGGCGGGACACGUGGUAUCCUGUCUGAAUAUGGGGGGACCAUCCUCCAAGGCUAAAUACUCCUGACUGACCGAUAGUGAACCAGUACCGUGAGGGAAAGGCGAAAAGAACCCCGGCGAGGGGAGUGAAAAAGAACCUGAAACCGUGUACGUACAAGCAGUGGGAGCCUCUUAAUGGGGUGACUGCGUACCUUUUGUAUAAUGGGUCAGCGACUUAUAUUCUGUAGCAAGGUUAACCGAAUAGGGGAGCCGAAGGGAAACCGAGUCUUAACUGGGCGUUAAGUUGCAGGGUAUAGACCCGAAACCCGGUGAUCUAGCCAUGGGCAGGUUGAAGGUUGGGUAACACUAACUGGAGGACCGAACCGACUAAUGUUGAAAAAUUAGCGGAUGACUUGUGGCUGGGGGUGAAAGGCCAAUCAAACCGGGAGAUAGCUGGUUCUCCCCGAAAGCUAUUUAGGUAGCGCCUCGUGAAUUCAUCUCCGGGGGUAGAGCACUGUUUCGGCAAGGGGGUCAUCCCGACUUACCAACCCGAUGCAAACUGCGAAUACCGGAGAAUGUUAUCACGGGAGACACACGGCGGGUGCUAACGUCCGUCGUGAAGAGGGAAACAACCCAGACCGCCAGCUAAGGUCCCAAAGUCAUGGUUAAGUGGGAAACGAUGUGGGAAGGCCCAGACAGCCAGGAUGUUGGCUUAGAAGCAGCCAUCAUUUAAAGAAAGCGUAAUAGCUCACUGGUCGAGUCGGCCUGCGCGGAAGAUGUAACGGGGCUAAACCAUGCACCGAAGCUGCGGCAGCGACACUAUGUGUUGUUGGGUAGGGGAGCGUUCUGUAAGCCUGUGAAGGUGGCCUGUGAGGGUUGCUGGAGGUAUCAGAAGUGCGAAUGCUGACAUAAGUAACGAUAAAGCGGGUGAAAAGCCCGCUCGCCGGAAGACCAAGGGUUCCUGUCCAACGUUAAUCGGGGCAGGGUGAGUCGACCCCUAAGGCGAGGCCGAAAGGCGUAGUCGAUGGGAAACAGGUUAAUAUUCCUGUACUUGGUGUUACUGCGAAGGGGGGACGGAGAAGGCUAUGUUGGCCGGGCGACGGUUGUCCCGGUUUAAGCGUGUAGGCUGGU